AUUGAACGCUGGCGGCAGGCCUAACACAUGCAAGUCGAACGAGUGGCGGACGGGUGAGUAAUGUCUGGGUAACUGCCCGAGGGAGGGGGCGAACUACUGGAAGCGCUAGCUAAUACCGCAUACCAUCGGAUGUGCCCAGAUGGGAUUAGCUAGUGGGUGGGGUAACGGCCUACCAAGGCGACGAUCCCUAGCCGGUCUGAGAGGAUGACCAGCCACACUGGAACUGAGACACGGUCCAGACUCCUACGGGAGGCAGCAGUGGGGAAUAUUGCACAAUGGGCGAAAGCCUGAUGCAGCCAUGCCGCGUGUAUGAAGAAGGCCUUCGGGUUGUAAAGUACUUUCAGCGAGGAGGCGUUACUCGCAGAAGAAGCACCGGCUAACUCCGUGCCAGCAGCCGCGGUAAUAC
rnacentral:rRNA from 1 species